GCGGUGUGCUCAGAGCAGAGGGCUUGAAGAAUGGCUCCUCUGUUUAUAACACACCCAACAGGAAUCUGGGGUCAUUGUGACAAAGGGCACAAAAUUUGUGGCCUGUGUGCAUGUGCCCUGCAUGU
rnacentral:snoRNA from 1 species